AUUGUACGCUGGCGGCAUGCCUUACACAUGCAAGUCGAACGGCAGCACGGGAGCAAUCCUGGUGGCGAGUGGCGAACGGGUGAGUAAAGUAUCGGAACGUGCCCAGUCGUGGGGGAUAACGUAGCGAAAGUUACGCUAAUACCGCAUACGAUCUAUGGAUGAAAGCGGGGGAUCGCAAGACCUCGCGCGAUUGGAGCGGCCGAUAUCAGAUUAGGUAGUUGGUGGGGUAAAGGCUCACCAAGCCGACGAGCUGUAGCUGGUCUGAGAGGACGACCAGCCACACUGGGACUGAGACACGGCCCAGACUCCUACGGGAGGCAGCAGUGGGGAAUUUUGGACAAUGGGCGAAAGCCUGAUCCAGCCAUGCCGCGUGCAGGAUGAUGGCCUUCGGGUUGUAAACUGCUUUUGUACGGAACGAAAAGGUUUGGCCUAAUAAGCUGAGCUCAUGACGGUACCGUAAGAAUAAGCACCGGCUAACUACGUGCCAGCCGCCGCAGUAA
rnacentral:rRNA from 1 species